GAUGAACGCUAGCUACAGGCUUAACACAUGCAAGUCGAGGGGAAACGAUAUUUGAAGCUUGCUUCCGAUAGGCGUCGACCGGCGCACGGGUGAGUAACGCGUAUCCAACCUGCCCACCACUUGGGGAUAACCUUGCGAAAGUAAGACUAAUACCCAAUGAUAUCUCUAGAAGACAUCUGAAGGAGAUUAAAGAUUUAUCGGUGAUGGAUGGGGAUGCGUCUGAUUAGCGUGUUGGCGGGGUAACGGCCCACCAAGGCGACGAUCAGUAGGGGUUCUGAGAGGAAGGUCCCCCACAUUGGAACUGAGACACGGUCCAAACUCCUACGGGAGGCAGCAGUGAGGAAUAUUGGUCAAUGGACGAGAGUCUGAACCAGCCAAGUAGCGUGCAGGAUGACGGCCCUAUGGGUUGUAAACUGCUUUUAUAAGGGAACAAAGUGAGCCUCGUGAGGCUUUUUGCAUGUACCUUAUGAAUAAGGACCGGCUAAUUCCGUGCCAGCAGCCGCAGUAA
rnacentral:rRNA from 1 species